UCCCUCUCAGGAUUGCACCUGGAGAGUUUCCAGUUCUCUACCAGUCUCAGCUACAGGAGGGAGAAUCAAGCAGAGGCAUACCCAUUCCAUUCCUAGCUUGGGCAGUGGCUAGUGAGUGGGAGAUUUGCUACAAGU